UGACGGGUUACGUCAAUCAUCUUGCAAAAUGUAAACAAUGAAAGAAUCCCGGAAUUUUCACCAUUAAAAAUAAUGAAAUUUCCCUAAGAUUACAUAAAAUAAUUGGAAAAACCUAAAGAUAUAAUUCACGAAGUAUCGUAAUGUGAUCGCAGACAUAAUAAGCAAGUCAGAAUGAUCGGACGUGGAAAGCUAAUUGCUGGAAUUGGAAUAUAGUACGCAGAAAAAGGAAGGAAGAGUUGGCCUACCGCUCUGGAUGAAGAGAAAAAAAAAGAAAAGGGGCACCUGGCUGAUAAGCCACCCAAAAAUAUGGAGAACUAUUUACAAGAUGAAUACACACAUACACUUGAUGAAAAUGAAGACGUGGAGAAUGAGGAUUGAUGAAGGAUGGGCGAGCUUGAGGAAGGGGAAGGGGAGAAGAAGGAGCCGAGUAGAAGGCUGAAGAAAGAAAAAUAUGAUUAGUAACAAAGUUAAAGAACUAUAAAAAAUACAAGUUAUAAAUAAAUAAAAGUGAUAAAAAGAGAGUCUCGCCUAAGUUAUUUAGUUUUUAGAUGCUAAGUGCCAUAUUGACUAAUAGAGUAAAAGAGAGUAGGAAAAAUUUAGAUUAAGAAAAUUAUGCCGAAAGAUUAAAAAUUUAUAGACGCGGAUGGUGUC